CACAGUUCCUCUUGAUCUUCUUGGCUGGUGGAAGGUACAUGCUCCUAGGUACCCAAUGAUGGCAAAGAUAGCAAAAAAGUUCCUCACUAUCCCGGCUACCUCUGUCUCAUCGGAAUCAACCUUUAGCACUACCGGAAGGAUUUUAGAUGACUAUAGGAGUUCUCUGAAACCCUCUACGGUGGAGGCCUUGGUUUGUAGUGCAAGUUAUAUCAAGGGUUCACACAUCGACUUGAAUGUGUUGCCGAGGGAGGAUGAGGAGGAUGAGGAUGUUGAGACCAUAAAGCUACCCUCCUAAAGUGUGGCAAGAUGAACAACUGACAUGUGGAUGUUGCUCUUGCUAUUUUGGAGAUGGAUGUCAAAGAGAUCUUCUCAUGUGGAUGCUACUUUUGCAUUUGUGUUAAUGCUGGACUUGCAUAUUGUCAUUGCAAGUUUGAAGAUGAACCAUUCAUUCG